AUAGGAGGCACUUUUUUACACAGAGAAUUGUGAGGGUCAGGAACCAACUCCCCAGUAAUGUUGUUUAAGCUGACACCCUGGGAUCCUUCAAGAAGCUGCUUGAUGAGAUUCUGGGAUCAAUAAGCUACUAACAACCAACCAAACAAACAAGAUGGGCUGAAUGGCCUCCUCUCGUUUGUAAACUUUCUUAUGUUCUUAUGUUCUUAUGCCACCUCCAUGUGUGUCGCUUCAUGUUACCGCUGUCGAAAAGAAUAGUUCCCAGCGUACAAAACUUCCCAGUGGGGCUUCUGGUUCCGUCACACUGUUCCUUUAAUGAAAUGUCGGCUAAUAUUAAUUGGGUGACGUGUAAAACAUGUAGCUACUAUUUACUUAUGUAUGUAUUUAUUUAUUUAUUUAUAAAAAGAACGGCGAAUAAGAUGUCAGUUACAAAGUGCUUACACUGUUUUAUUUGUCCAUAUUUUAUUGUGUGUGUGUUCAACAGGACAUCUGUAAUUACAGAACAACUUACAAAUUAAUUGUGCUGAACCGGGCAGCUGUGAAAGGCAGGGACACUGGGAAAUUAAGUCUUUCUUUUUAUUAUUAUUAUUAUUAUUAUUAUUAUUAUUUAUUUCUUAGCAGACACCCUUAUCCAGGGCGACUUACAAUUGUUACAAGAUAUCACAUUAUACAUUAUACAUUAUACCACAUUAUUUUUACAUACAAUUACCCAUUUAUACAGUUUUUUUUUUUUUUUUUUUUUUUUUUUAACUGGAGCAAUCUAGGUAAAGUACCUUGCUCAAGGGUACAACAGCAGUGUCCCCUACUGGGGAUCGAACCCACAACCCUCCGGUCAAGAGUCCAGAGCCCUAACCACUACUCCAGCUUUCGUUCAGUUCUGAUGUAAUAAAGGAAGUGACAGAACCGGAAGCCCCACUGGAAAGUUUUGUAUGCUGGGAACUAUUGUAUUCGACACCGCAGCCCCCUGUUCACACCAAAGGCGGCAAAGCCAGGGUCCUGUGACGUCAAUCUUUGAUGUAUUGACCACAGGCUACACGAGCUGGCAAAAUGUGAGAAAAACAAAGUUUUGUUUGUUUGUUUUUUUAUAAAUUUGAAAUGAAUUACUUCUUGUGGUGAAUUACUAUAGCUAAGUAAAACAAAAAAUGUAAUUAAACUGGUUUAAGAGUAGAUUUUUGGAGGGGUUAUGUUAAUCAUUACAGAUUUACAAGAAUACAAUAACUUUUACUCUUUUAUAAAAGUAACAGAAUUUUUUUUUUUUUAAACCAAAGACAUUCAGGCAUUCUCAGAGGAAACGUGUUUGUGUUUAUUUGCGUUUGUUUAAAAUAAAGUAGAAUUUUUACAUUAAUAUGUAUGCUAAUUCUUUGAAGGUGAUUUUAUUAUACUUUAUUUAUCUUAUAAGUUGUAUCUGUGAGGACUCCUCGGUGGGGGUGGUGGGGGGGAUCAUAUCAUCAGCAGUGCUGGCGGUAAUAUUCCAUCUUAAUUUUUCAUUCAUUCUCUGCAAGCCCGCUGUCUUCUUCUGAUUGGCUGCUGGUAAUGUACAUCACAAAGUGGCGCGGCAAAAGUUGAAUUAUGUUUAUCUCUUCCACGCCGCCCCUGUGCACCACCUUCAGUGUGAAUGACUUGAUUGAAAAGUUUGACAGUUAUAAAUUCCAAGAAUAAACAAGCUUCUCCCAGACACCCAGAUUGUUGUUGUGACAAGUGCCAGCUAAGACAGGGCCCAUUUAAAAAUAGAGUUUGUACAGUUUGCUCCCCUGGAAGAUGUUGUGUUUGAGGUUAUUUCAGGAGAGCCAGUGGUUAAUUUCAAUGGAAAGGAAAUAAUAAGAGCAAUCUGCUUUAAGUGUAAACAGCCAGUAGACUGGAGAGCCAUGGGAAGCAUGGUAUGUCUGCAGUGUAUUGAGCUUACUAAGGGAGUUGCAGUACAUUACAGGUGCCAACCAGAGAGAGAUCACCAUACCUGUAAUGCAAGAUACUGGAUGCCCGGGAGCAGCCUUGCUGUUUGAGGGAGAAGAGGAGAACAGAAAAACAUGGGGUCCCUCUUGACCUGAAGAGAACAGCUUGCUUGCUUGCUUGCUGUUAAAUAGUUUUUAUCAUAAAGUAUAGUUGCAUACUGCAUUUUCUAUAAUUAAAAAAUAAACCUAUGCUUUCUGGUCACUAGCACCAGUUUUCUCUAACACCUUUUCAGCGAAGCUGCAACACCUUAAGUCUUUAUAAAAGAGACCAGGGCAAGGGGCUUUUACUAACUAACAAUUUUCUCUGACAAACGAACUUAUACCCAGUAACAGCCAUCUAGACAGUGUAUUUUUAUCAGUCAAAAGGUCAGGGUGUUGUUUGGUCUUGCAGUAUUGCUCGCUAGAGGAGGGUUUUUGAUGAAGUAGGCUGGAGUCUAUUUUCUGUGAAGGUGUUAAAUCAAGAUGUAUAAUUAACAUGCUAAACUUAUUAAUUAAAUGUGAUAAGCUUAUGAUUUAUAUUUACUUAAACUAAUACAUUAUAAUUAUAUUUAUUUAGAGUAGUAUGUGCAUUUUUGCUUGAACAUGCUAAAUAUUUUGUAGUAUGAAUCUAAACAUUUAAUUAAGCUUGAUAGCUAGCAGACACAUUGUAACCACAUGCUGCAUGAGCAGGGGGGUUGUGGUGACGUCAUGAAAGGUGGGUAGGCAACUGACAAAUUGCAUGUAAAAACUUUAAUCAAAUGAUACCAAAUGGUUCUUUUUUUCCGACCUCCGAUCCUCAACUGAGCUCGUGAGAAUUUGAACCCAGCCUCUGUACUUGAAUCCUGAGUUGAGACUCUGAAAAGUCUUUACCUACUGAUUGGCAUCACCAGUCCGCUCUGAAUCAAUUGCACCUCAAAGAGGAGGGGAAGCAUAUAUUCAUUGCCUGAACUAUAGAUGUCUUAAAUAUGAGUAGAAUUAAUACAUGCAUUAUGUAAGGUGGUUUAGUUAGAUUAGUAUGCCUGACUGAAAGCAUUAACUGGUUUUAAUUGUUUCUCGUUUGAUUGUUUUUAAUACUUGUAUGAUAUUUUUCAAACGUGAUAAAACAUUGUUAGAAACUUAAGUUGUGAAACACUUGUAUUAUUGUGGCAGUAAUACUCCUAAUUAGGAAAAGUUUUGGAUACAACAUUGUUAAAAAUGUUAUCAUUGUUGUGCUUCAUUAAAUAUAGUCUCUCGAAAGGAGACUGUUAUCCUAAAUACAAGUAUCGUGUCUGUGUUUGUCUCUCAUAAUGUUUAGUGGAUUCAGUGUAUUCAUUUCACUUGGGCCCAGUGCAUGAAAAUUAAUCACUAGGAGUACUGUUCCCUCCUGAGUUUUACCUUCAUAAGACUCGAACGUGACAGAGGUCCACAAUGAAGCAGGUUUAAAGUAUUAGUGUGGCGGUAUUAAUAUCUGCUUAUGUCUUGAUAUGAUUAAAAUAAGCCUUUUUAUAUUUCAAAAUUAAAGAAGAGCAUUGAUACUGUAACCUUAUGUAUCCUGCUGUGACAUGGUAAAGGUAUAUAAAAGGAGUGAAUUGUGGCCUCCCGACAGACGGAGGUACAAGUGAGGCUAACUUCCGUACCCUUAUCAAGAUGGAACUGAGAGACGGGUUGUGGCAACCAUCUAGAUGAGGGCAGCUACACAGGUGCACCCGGUCCUGCUCCUUCGAUCCCAGGGUUGAGCGAUUAACCAAUUUGUAACGAGGAAGCAAAGAUAUUUAAACAGACUUGGUCAGAUUGUAAAACUUUGUACGAAGUUAAAGUUAACUGUCUCUGUAGAGAAUGGCUACAGGUGGAGGACCAUCAACAUCACAGCGAUGAACAGCAGUAGAAGAAUGCUGUCAAUAUCCCAUGGGAGAGCAUUGCAGGUGUAGGAGGUCUUGAUGUGGGUGUCAUCCCAUCACAUGUCUCACAUGAGCAGCACAAAGACACUUGUCUACAUGUUUUAUUUAUUUUAAACAGUUUUUAAAUAGACCAAUACAGUCAAAUUACACAAGAUGAUGAGCAUGAUUUGAUAGAUUCUCCACAUUUGUCAGCAGUGUACUCUCCAGAUCGUGGUCGACCACCUAUAGAGGAAAUUAACAGAACACCGCAGCUGCAGCAAGAGAAAGAACAACUUGCUCCCAAAUUUCUUGAACUUCAAGAAAGGGGAUUUGCUGAAGUGGAUAAGAAUUUACUAAAUCUAAAUGAGAAAGUAAAUAGAAUGUGCUCGUAUAUGGAAAGAUCCAUAAAACGAAUAGAGGAAAAAGUUAAAAUAGAAGGAGAGAGGCUAGGCCUGGAUAGGGCAUGUCAUGAACAGUAACAGCAGAAACAAACACAGAUAGUGCCCUGUUUACUUCGCAGGCUUCUACUUGUGCCCAAGAUCGGAAUGAAGCUGUGGCCCCAUUAAUGCCAAGAAGACCAGGGCGAUCAAGAAAACGCUAAGCUGUACAUUAUAACAAAUGUAUUGUAAUUGAUACAUACAUUGUUAUUGAUGCAUAUAAUAUGAAUAUAUAGCCUACAUAAAUAUAUUUAUUUUGCAAUAUUUGUUUGUAUGUUUCAUGUUUUACAUGUAAUAUACAUUUAACAAGAAUUAACUUACCCUGAUUUUCAAUGUUUAAGCAAUGAUCAUUGUUCAGGUAACACUUUAUAUUAAGGUGCUGCUUUUUAGUGUUUUACAAAUGUGUUAUAAAUAUAUAAUAGAUGCUUAAUAAAUGUGUUAUAAUGUUAACAAUGCAUUGUAGGUGGUGUAUAACCAUGCGAUAGCCAUAGACAGGAUUACAGUUUUAUAAAGGGGCAUCAAAGUCAAUCUCCUCUUGAAUAAUGGCAUUUAACAUGUUUUUACUAAUGUCUAACAAACAUCCACGAGUAGUAGCUGUGUUGUGUAGUACACAACAUGUUACCAAUAUGUCAGCAACCUUCUUCGCACUGUAUUGCAAUGCACCACCACUCCGGUCCAAACACCUAAAAUGCAUUUUAAGCAUGCCAAUUUUUUUUUUUCAAUUACACUGCAAGUUCUUCUGUGUGCCUCAUUACAUACAUUUUCACCUGCUGUUUGUGGACUAAGAACUGGUGUCAUCAGUGCGAUGGAUGACUGAGAAAGGAUGAAAGAGUCGUGGCUGGAUCCCAGGAGGCUAUCUUCGGCUUCUUAUCCUUUGCCUUCGUGCUAUGUCAAGAUCCAACAAAUCAUAUAAAACCUCAAACUCAGCCAUCUUAACUUUUUUUUCCUUUUUUCUUUUAACUUUUACCUUUUUCUAUGAGAGGUGUGGCAGUGCGCUAAUAAGACAAACCUGUGACCGUGUCUUAAUUGCACUCGUUUAUAGCCCACAGAUGAGAGGGGAAAUAGCUUUUUUGCGAAUGAUACCUCAAACUCCACCCAUUUUAUCUCAUUAAACCAUGGGCAAACACUGCCAGGCGCACAGCUCUUGUCCAUUCAGGGAGCUAGGAAGGAAAUUAAAAGACAAGACCAAAACUGUGGUAUUUUCUGGGAUACUGCCGGCGCCUUGCAAAGGACCAAAUGCAUGGCUGAAAUCGUGGUGCACACAGGAAGGCUUCACCUUUCUUGAACAUUGGAGCACAUUCUACAACAAGGACUAUCUAUACAGGUGGGACGGACUGCACUUAAACAGAAAGGGAACCAAUCUACUCGGAGAAAGGAUCCUUCAGGAGGUCCAGAAGCAUUUAAACUAGAAAGGGGGGAGAAAACAAAAAAACAGAAGGGAGACCACAUCAAAACAAGGGCAACAACUCAGCAGGACAGUGCUCCAUGCCACACAGCCAGGUCAAUCAAGGUGUGGAUGGAGGACCACCAGAUCAAGACCCUGUCAUGGCCAGCCCAAUCUCCAGACCUGAACCCCAU